ACGCGUAGAAUUUACCAAAAGGACUGGGACAACCACUGGAAACGGUGGCUAAUACCGGAUGAACCGAAAAGUAAAAAGGGAAACCUGCCUUUUGAAGAGCUCGCGUCUGAUUAGCUAGUUGGUGAGGUAAGAGCUCACCAAGGCAGCGAUCAGUAGCUGGUCUGAGAGGAUGACCAGCCACACUGGGACUGAGACACGGCCCAGACUCCUACGGGAGGCAGCAGUGGGGAAUUUUCCGCAAUGGGCGAAAGCCUGACGGAGCAAUACCGCGUGAGGGAAGAAGGCUCUUGGGUCGUAAACCUCUUUUAUCAGGGAAGAAAAAAAUGACGGUACCUGAAGAAUCAGCCUCGGCUAACUCCGUGCCAGCAGCCGCGGUAAUACGGAGGAGGCAAGCGUUAUCCGGAAUUAUUGGGCGUAAAGCGUCCGCAGGUGGCUUAUCAAGUCUGCUGUCAAAGAGUGGGGCUUAACCCCAUUAAGGCAGUGGAAACUGAGAAGCUAGAGUGCCGUAGGGGUAGAGGGAAUUCCCGGUGUAGCGGUGAAAUGCGUAGAGAUCGGGAAGAACAUCGGUGGCGAAAGCGCUCUACUGGACGGCAACUGACACUCAGGGACGAAAGCUAGGGGAGCGAAAGGGAUUAGA
rnacentral:rRNA from 1 species